GGAGUUGUGGCUCAAUGGUAGAGCAUUUGCCUGGCAUGUGUAAGGUACUGGAUUCAAUUCUCAGCACCA
rnacentral:tRNA from 1 species